AGCUCCAAUAGCGUAUACUAAAGUUGUUGCAGUUAAAAAGCUCGUAGUUGAAUUUCUGGUCGUAGACAUCGGUCUGCCUCAAACGAGGUACGCACCUGUUGUCUGUGACCAUCCUCGGGGAAAACAUGUCUGUCAUUCAGUUGAUGGGCAUGGGAUCCUCGUCAUUUACUGUGAGCAAAAUAGAGUGUUCAAAGCAGGCUUAUGCCGUUGAAUACAUUAGCAUGGAAUAAUAAGAUAAGACCUUGGUCUAUUUUGUUGGUUUGUACUCCAAGGUAAUGAUUAAUAGGGAUAGUUGGGGGUAUUCGUAUUCAAUUGUCAGAGGUGAAAUUCUUGGAUUUAUGGAAGACGAACUACUGCGAAAGCAUUUACCAAGGAUGUUUUCAUUAAUCAAGAACGAAAG
rnacentral:rRNA from 1 species